rnacentral:rRNA from 1 species
AGUGAACGCUGGCGGUAGGCCUAACACAUGCAAGUCGAACGGCAGCACAGUAAGAGCUUGCUCUUACGGGUGGCGAGUGGCGGGCGGGUGAGGAAUACAUCGGAAUCUACUUUUUCGUGGGGGAUAACAUAGGGAAACUUACGCUAAUACCGCAUACGACCUACGGGUGAAAGCAGGGGAUCUUCGGACCUUGCGCGAUUGAAUGAGCCGAUGUCGGAUUAGCUAGUUGGCGGGGUAAAGGCCCACCAAGGCGACGAUCCGUAGCUGGUCUGAGAGGAUGAUCAGCCACACUGGAACUGAGACACGGUCCAGACUCCUACGGGAGGCAGCAGUGGGGAAUAUUGGACAAUGGGCGCAAGCCUGAUCCAGCCAUACCGCGUGGGUGAAGAAGGCCUUCGGGUUGUAAAGCCCUUUUGUUGGGAAAGAAAAGCAGCAGGUUAAUACCCCGCUGUUCUGACGGUACCCAAAGAAUAAGCACCGGCUAACUUCGUG